AGGACGAACGCUGGCGGCGUGCUUAACACAUGCAAGUCGAACGGAAAGGCCCUUCGGGGUACUCGAGUGGCGAACGGGUGAGUAACACGUGAGCAAUCUGCCCCUAGCUCUGGGAUAGCUCCGGGAAACCGGGAUUAAUACCAGAUAUUACUACGGCCGACAUCAGCUGUGGUGGAAAGAAUUUCGGCUAGGGAUGAGCUCGCGGCCUAUCAGCUUGUUGGUGGGGUAAAGCCCACAAGGCGACGACGGGUAGCCGGCCUGAGAGGGCGACCGGCCACACUGGGACUGAGACACGGCCCAGACUCCUACGGGAGGCAGCAGUGGGGAAUAUUGCGCAAUGGGCGAAAGCCUGACGCAGCGACGCCGCGUGCGGGAUGAAGGCCUUCGGGUUGUAAACCGCUUUCAGCAGGGACGAAGCGAAAGUGACGGUACCUGCAGAAGAAGCGCCGGCUAACUACGUGCCAGCAGCCGCGGUAA
rnacentral:rRNA from 1 species